rnacentral:lncRNA from 1 species
CAACUUUGGAACCAGAAACUCAAUCACCAAGAUUCUCAGUCUCCUAACCCGGCUCCUGUCUGCUUGAAUCCUUUCAUUCUUUUUCUCUACGGAUGUGUUUUCUCUACUAUCUGACCCACGUGCAAGAUUAAAUUUAAGAGGCCAUUUAAAGAAGCACAGCAUUUGUCUACUGAACACUAAAGUAUCACUCAGGAAGAUAUUAAAAUUUUUCACUCUUGGAACAUUCCUUGGAUCUCUGCUGCUGUGCUGUGAGAAAAACAAGCUACAAGUAUAGGACACAUGUUGAAGCUCCAAUUGAUAGCUGCAAUUGAGCUCCUUGCCAAUGACCAACAUCCUACGUCAACCAUGUGAAGUGGUCCUCUUCACUGUCCCAGCAUAACUGAGCACACAGGUGAUCAAGGCAGAGCCAAUUCCACAGGAAGUAAGAGAGCAUUGGUGUUAGCCCAUUCAACACCAAGACUAGUGAGAAAUUGCUGUUGUUUUAAGCCACUAAAUCUUGGAGGGGUUUGUUAAGAAAGUAACUGAAAAAGUGUCUUCCGUGAAUAAGGGUCAAGGAACCAUAGGAAUAGAUGAGUGUAGGGGGCCCUGCCCCCCCGCUGGAACUCUUGAGUGCCUUCUACGGACAUGCCCGGGCUUGCUGCAAAUCUACCCGGCAACAAGGAAGUAGCCCCAGUACACUCCUCUUGCUCCUCCCCUCUCGCCCUACGGUAUAUAUGUUGUAACAGCUUCCGCAAUAAACGAGACUUGAUCAGAAA